rnacentral:rRNA from 1 species
CUACCGGGGUAUCUAAUCCUGUUUGCUCCCCACGCUUUCGAACCUCAGCGUCAAUACCUGUCCAGCGAGUCGCCUUCGCCACUGGUGUUCUUCCGAAUAUCUACGAAUUUCACCUCUACACUCGGAAUUCCACUCGCCUCUCCAGGAUUCAAGCGAAGCAGUUUCAAAGGCAGUUCCAGAGUUGAGCUCUGGGAUUUCACCCCUGACUUGCUAAGCCGCCUACGUUCGCUUUACGCCCAGUAUUUCCGAACAACGCUAGCCCCCUCCGUAUUACCGCGGCUGCUGGCAC